AAUGAACGCUGGCGGCAUGCCUAACACAUGCAAGUCGAACGAAGGCUUCGGCCUUAGUGGCGCACGGGUGCGUAACGCGUGGGAAUCUGCCCUUGGGUUCGGAAUAACAGUUAGAAAUGACUGCUAAUACCGGAUGAUGUCGUAAGACCAAAGAUUUAUCGCCCAAGGAUGAGCCCGCGUAGGAUUAGCUAGUCGGUGGGGUAAAGGCCCACAAAGGCGACGAGCCUUAGCUGGUCUGAGAGGAUGAUCAGCCACACUGGGACUGAGACACGGCCCAGACUCCUACGGGAGGCAGAAGUGGGGAAUAUUGGACAAUGGGCGAAAGCCUGAUCCAGCAAUGCCGCGUGAGUGAUGAAGGCCUUAGGGUUGUAAAGCUCUUUUACCCGGGAUGAUAAUGACAGUACCGGGAGAAUAAGCUCCGGCUAACUUCGUGCCAGCCGCCGCGGUAA
rnacentral:rRNA from 1 species